UGCCCAGCACCUCCUAUCCCUACCUCCUCGCGGUACUGGCCGGGGUACGAGUAACCUUAGGGAAGAUCGGGUAACCAACCCCCGGUGGGAACUCUGGUCGUAUGCUGACAGGGAAGG
rnacentral:ribozyme from 1 species